GUGCAUGCACACUUCUUCCGAUACACUGAAACUGAAGUCACCAGACCCUUAUAUGACUUCUGGUGACUUCUGUUUCAGUGUAUCUGAAGAAGUGUGCAUGCAC